UACGUAGGGUGCAAGCGUUGUCCGGAAUUAUUGGGCGUAAAGAGCUCGUAGGCGGUUUGUCGCGUCUGCUGUGAAAACUCGGGGCUUAACUCCGGGCCUGCAGUGGGUACGGGCAGACUAGAGUGCGGUAGGGGAGACUGGAAUUCCUGGUGUAGCGGUGAAAUGCGCAGAUAUCAGGAGGAACACCGGUGGCGAAGGCGGGUCUCUGGGCCGCAACUGACGCUGAGACGCGAAAGCGUGGGGAGCAAACAGG
rnacentral:rRNA from 1 species